rnacentral:rRNA from 2 species
UGGAUCCAGACUUUGAUUAUGGCUCAGGAUGAACGCUAGCUACAGGCUUAACACACGCAAGUCGAGGGGAAACGACAUCGAAAGCUUGCUUUUGAUGGGCGUCGACCGGCGCACGGGUGAGUAACGCGUAUCCAACCUGCCCACCACUUGGGGAUAACCUUGCGAAAGUAAGACUAAUACCCAAUGAUAUCUCUAGAAGACAUCUGAAAGAGAUUAAAGAUUUAUCGGUGAUGGAUGGGGAUGCGUCUGAUUAGCUUGUUGGCGGGGUAACGGCCCACCAAGGCAACGAUCAGUAGGGGUUCUGAGAGGAAGGUCCCCCACAUUGGAACUGAGACACGGUCCAAACUCCUACGGGAGGCAGCAGUGAGGAAUAUUGGUCAAUGGACGAGAGUCUGAACCAGCCAAGUAGCGUGCAGGAUGACGGCCCUAUGGGUUGUAAACUGCUUUUAUAAGGGAAUAAAGUGAGUCUCGUGAGACUUUUUGCAUGUACCUUAUGAAUAAGGACCGGCUAAUUCCGUGCCAGCAGCCGCGGUAAUACGGAAGGUCCGGGCGUUAUCCGGAUUUAUUGGGUUUAAAGGGAGCGUAGGCCGGAGAUUAAGCGUGUUGUGAAAUGUAGACGCUCAACGUCUGCACUGCAGCGCGAACUGGUUUCCUUGAGUACGCACAAAGUGGGCGGAAUUCGUGGUGUAGCGGUGAAAUGCUUAGAUAUCACGAAGAACUCCGAUUGCGAAGGCAGCUCACUGGAGCGCAACUGACGCUGAAGCUCGAGAGUGCGGGUAUCGAACAGGAUUAGAUACCCUGGUAGUCCGCACGGUAAACGAUGGAUGCCCGCUGUUGGUCUGAAUAGGUCAGCGGCCAAGCGAAAGCAUUAAGCAUCCCACCUGGGGAGUACGCCGGCAACGGUGCAACUCAAAGGAAUUGACGGA